rnacentral:rRNA from 1 species
UACAGAGGGUGCGAGCGUUAAUCGGAUUUACUGGGCGUAAAGGGCGCGUAGGUGGUUGUAUAAGUGAGAUGUGAAAUCCCUGGGCUUAACCUAGGAACUGCAUCUCAUACUGUAUAGCUAGAGUAUUGUAGAGGGUAGUGGAAUUUCCGGUGUAGCGGUGAAAUGCGUAGAGAUCGGAAGGAACACCAGUGGCGAAGGCGGCUACCUGGACAAAUACUGACACUGAUGCGCGAGAGCGUGGGGAGCAAACAGG